AUUGAACGCUGGCGGCAGGCCUAACACAUGCAAGUCGAACGAGUGGCGGACGGGUGAGUACUGUCUGGGAAACUGCCUGAUGGAGGGGGAUAACUACUGGAAACGGUAGCUAAUACCUCAUACCAUCAGAUGUGCCAAGAUGGGAUUAGCUUGUUGGGGGGGUAACGGCUCAACAAGGCGACGAUCCCUAGCUGGUCUGAGAGGAUGACCAACCACACUGGAACGGAGACACGGUCCAGACUCCUACGGGAGGCAGCAGUGGGGAAUAUUGCACAAGGGGCGCAAGCCUGAUGCAUCCAUGCCGAGUGUAUGAAGAAGGCCUUCGGGUUGGAAAGUACUUUCAGCGGGGAGGCGUUACCCGCAGAAGAAGCACCGGCUAACUCCGUGCCAGAAGCCGCGGUAAUUC
rnacentral:rRNA from 1 species